rnacentral:rRNA from 1 species
CUCCUAAGGCUAAAUACUCUCUAGUGACCGAUAGUGAACCAGUACCGUGAGGGAAAGGUGAAAAGCACCCCGGAAGGGGAGUGAAAUAGAACCUGAAACCGUGUGCUUACAAGUAGUCAGAGCCCGUUAAUGGGUGAUGGCGUGCCUUUUGUAGAAUGAACCGGCGAGUUACGAUUUGAUGCAAGGUUAAGCAGUAAAUGUGGAGCCGUAGCGAAAGCGAGUCUGAAUAGGGCGUUUAGUAUUUGGUCGUAGACCCGAAACCAGGUGAUCUACCCUUGGUCAGGUUGAAGUUCAGGUAACACUGAAUGGAGGACCGAACCGACUUACGUUGAAAAGUGAGCGGAUGAACUGAGGGUAGCGGAGAAAUUCCAAUCGAACCUGGAGAUAGCUGGUUCUCUCCGAAAUAGCUUUAGGGCUAGCCUCAAGUGAUGAUUAUUGGAGGUAGAGCACUGUUUGGACGAGGGGCCCCUCUCGGGUUACCGAAUUCAGACAAACUCCGAAUGCCAAUUAAUUUAACUUGGGAGUCAGAACAUGGGUGAUAAGGUCCGUGUUCGAAAGGGAAACAGCCCAGACCACCAGCUAAGGUCCCAAAAUAUAUGUUAAGUGGAAAAGGAUGUGGCGUUGCCCAGACAACUAGGAUGUUGGCUUAGAAGCAGCCAUCAUUUAAAGAGUGCGUAAUAGCUCACUAGUCGAGUGACACUGCGCCGAAAAUGUACCGGGGCUAAACAUAUUACCGAAGCUGUGGAUUGUCCUUUGGACAAUGGUAGGAGAGCGUUCUAAGGGCGUUGAAGCAUGAUCGUAAGAACAUGUGGAGCGCUUAGAAGUGAGAAUGCCGGUGUGAGUAGCGAAAGACGGGUGAGAAUCCCGUCCACCGAUUGACUAAGGUUUCCAGAGGAAGGCUCGUCCGCUCUGGGUUAGU